rnacentral:lncRNA from 1 species
CACCGGCUGAAAUGGGAGAAAUUGUUCUACAUGACAGAUAACGAGAUGAGGAAUCCUUGGCAAGCACGUGUAAAACACUUCACAGCAGGUGGCAACAUGAGCAGAUAGAGGUACAAGCACACAGGAAACACAAGUAUCUGCUGCUCGUCCUUCCUGCUUCCCUGCCCCAGUGCUCGCUGUGAGAAAGUGGCAGGUAAGAAAGAUUAGCUCACUCUGUGCGUUUGUGGGAUGAAUGCCUGACAGAAAUUAAUACAGUGAGUUUAACAUCUUUCUUUUUUAAAGUUUUGAACGAUUUCCACUCCUGCAAAAGGUAGGUUCCACCACAUUGCUUUUAUGUCUCCCUGUCCACACCUUAUAUCAUCUAGAAGAGCACACCAUCCCAUGCUAGCUUUAAAGAUUAAAAUGACCAUGGCCACCCUUCAGGAUGGUAUCAACUUUUUGUUGAUGCAGAGGCAAAUGCCAGUAAUGUGAAAGGCUUCCAGUAACAGACUGUGGGAAAGAAACUGAUGCUUUGUGAGUUCUGUGGGGCUUUGGGAUCUGGGCACUCUCUUCCAUUGCAUGCUGCAGACAUGUCUUCAGUCCCAGCUAGCAGAAAUCCAACCGGAGAUGCAGCAGCUGGGAGCUUCUGGAUCAGGUUAAAGGCUGUAAGAAGUGUAUGGUUUGCUUGACCUCUUAAUUAAUAUGAAAGUUACAGAAAGCCUCAUGGUUAGUAGGGUUUUGCUAACACAGAUGAGGAAUGGCUUUGUUUUGUUCCUGGUAGAGACAGAGCCCAAGAGGUUUUUUUGCAAUCAGCAUCAAUUGGUUCCACAGCAGCAGAGAGAAUAUUUCCUGCAGAAAGGUCAAGGGCCAUUUGCAGCUUUCCAAGUCAAAAACAAUCCUUAAAACUCCAUCUAAAAACCACCUAGCAGCUGUGUAGAGCCCCGUGACUACCCUGGGUUGUAGCAGGUAUGAGAAACAGAACUAGAAACAAAAUCCUGCUCAGGAGAGCAUAUGGGUUUGUUGCUGAUGAAGAAACCAGAAGCCCAGUGCUUGACCUCAGGUUGGUUUUGGCUCAGAGAAAUUCCACUGCCAUUAAGACACCAAGUGUGCAAGUAGAAGAGCAUGACUGCACCCAGACACGCACAUCAUCACAGACUUUUAGGACGUGGCAUUUCAGAAAUAAACAGGGUAAUGAGCCAGGUUGUGUAUUUUGUGAGAGCCUGUCCUCUCAACAGUGAACAUUAUAAAAGACUUUAGGAAACAACCUCUGGCUCUGCUUUCCCUCUUGUUCUCCAUCAGGAGCAGCUUGUGAGGUAUGGAGAUGACACAUGAGAUGCCUGUGAGGUGGUUGGGAAGAAGGCAGCUUGGACCAGCCUAGAGGAAGGAUUUUAUCUUGAUGUGUGUGCGUGGAGCUGUAGGGAGGGCGGACAGACUGUGAGAAGGGGAUACAAUCCCCUAGGUGCUGUUACCCUGAGACAACAUCCCACCAGCAUAUAACACAAAUUUAGUAACAGAGGGGAGCUAAGUAAAC